rnacentral:rRNA from 1 species
GACGAACGCUGGCGGCGUGCUUAACACAUGCAAGUCGAACGGUAAGGCCCUUCGGGGUACACGAGUGGCGAACGGGUGAGUAACACGUGAGUGAUCUGCCCUGCACUUCGGGAUAAGCCUGGGAAACUGGGUCUAAUACCGGAUAGGACCACUGCCUGCAUGGGUGGUGGUGGAAAGCUUUUGCGGUGUGGGAUGGGCCCGCGGCCUAUCAGCUUGUUGGUGGGAUGAUGGCCUACCAAGGCGACGACGGGUAGCCGGCCUGAGAGGGUGACCGGCCACACUGGGACUGAGAUACGGCCCAGACUCCUACGGGAGGCAGCAGUGGGGAAUAUUGCACAAUGGGCGCAAGCCUGAUGCAGCGACGCCGCGUGAGGGAUGACGGCCUUCGGGUUGUAAACCUCUUUCAGCACCGACGAAGCGCAAGUGACGGUAGGUGCAGAAGAAGGACCGGCCAACUACGUGCCAGCAGCCGCCGUAA